rnacentral:rRNA from 1 species
GAUGAACGCUAGCGGGGGGCCUAACACAUGCAAGCCGAGCGGUAGAGUUCCUUCGGUAACGUGAGAGCGGCGGACGGGUGCGUAACACGUGUGCAAGCUACCUGUAUCUGGGGGAGAGCCUUCCGAAAGGAAGAUGAAUACCCCAUAAUAUGAUGAUUGGCAUCAAUGAUUAUUGAAAACUCCGGUGGAUAGAGAUGGGCACGCGCGAGAUUAGAUAGUUGGUGAGUAAACGGCUCACCAAGUCAAUGAUCUUUAGGGGUCCUGAGAGGGAGAUGCCCCAGACUGGUACUGGGACCCGGACCAGACUGCUACGGGAGGCAGCAGUGCGGAAUAUAGGACAAUGGGUGAUAGCAUAAUCCAGCCAACCCGCGUGCAGGAUGACGGUGCUCGGGAUUGUAACCUUCUUUUGUAAAGCGAUAAACCUACUCUAGUGAGGGUAGCUGACGGUAAUGGACGAAUAAGCACCGGCUAACUACGUG